CAGGGAGACAACACAAUGAUUUUGAUGCCUGAUUAUUUUUAUUCUUAGGCCGAUCUCGUGUCCCCUUAUGUCGAUCGGCACCUCAUUUUUGAAAUCAAAAAUGACCACCAUUGUUGAUUGCUUGAUGGAGAUUUUCAGUUCCUAAACUUUGUCUAGGUCACACCCCAUAAGGGUUGAGUCUUCCGGGGCCUUUACCUCAGGGGGUUAAAGCGCACCCCUGAUAAGGGGGAGGUCCCGGGUUCAAGUCCAGGAGGGCCCAUUCGGGGUUGGGGGUUUAGCUCAUUUGGUAAAGCGCCGGCUUUGCAAGCAGGAUGUCAGGAGUUCAAGUCUCCUAACCUCCACUGACCAAACUUAAUCUCUGUCUUCUGAAUCAAAGGAAGGUGAACUCGAAUGUGUGUGUGAUUUAUAUGUGUCCGCAGGCAUGAUCUCUGUUUCUUGUCAUUCCAAGUGAAGAUUUUUUCUCUGAAUUUGAUUGAUAAGAUGCUGGGCUCGAACUGAGAAAUCACUUUGAUGUCUAUUGAGAUCUUUGACAACUGCUUAGGUGAGUCUGGGAGAGAAUCAAGGCAUCUCUCAUGCAUGCAUCGUUCUUUUAGUGAUGAUGUUGAUGUCUUGAGCAAUAUCAGAGACUCCCCUCAACGUCCUUCUGAUUGUGUCGAGCAUGCAGGAGUUUGAUCAUUGAUUAUAGCAUUAAAUCAGUGAGAAUCCGGUUUCAACCACGGUUCAGCGUCUUGGAGAUUAUAUG
rnacentral:tRNA from 1 species